rnacentral:rRNA from 1 species
AGAGUUUGAUCCUGGCUCAGGAUGAACGCUGGCGGCGUGCCUAACACAUGCAAGUCGAACGGAAAUUGCUGAAGGAAGUUUUCGGAUGGAAUUCAGUAAUUUUAGUGGCGGACGGGUGAGUAACACGUGGGUAACCUGCCUUGUACUGGGGGAUAACAGUUGGAAACGGCUGUUAAUACCGCAUAAGCGCACAGCUUCGCAUGAAGCAGUGUGAAAAACUCCGGUGGUACAAGAUGGACCCGCGUCUGAUUAGCUAGUUGGUGAGGUAACGGCCCACCAAGGCGACGAUCAGUAGCCGGCCUGAGAGGGUGAACGGCCACAUUGGGACUGAGACACGGCCCAGACUCCUACGGGAGGCAGCAGUGGGGAAUAUUGCACAAUGGAGGAAAACUCUGAUGCAGCGACGCCGCGUGAGCGAUGUA